GUGAAUCAUCGAAUUUUUGAACGCAAAUUGCACUCUCCUCGGAGAGUAUGCCUGUUUGAGGGUCAGCCUAUAAAAAAUCGACAUCGUUGCUGUUUCGCGGUGGCGUUCGUCGGAAAUUGGGUUAUCUUAAAUCUUUUGGUUUUAAGCGACUUAAAUUUUUCUUUUUGUUUCCAUGAGCGUUCCUAAGUUUAUUUCCUUUACACUUUUAAGUUUU
rnacentral:misc_RNA from 1 species